rfam:Ictidomys tridecemlineatus contig090893, whole genome shotgun sequence.
GAAGAUGUCACUCAGUGGUAGAGAACAUGCUUAGCAUGUAUGAGGCCCUGGGUUUGAUCCCAGCAUAUGCA